UCUGUAGCUUAGUGGUUACAAAGGUCUCAGUAGCACUUGAGGUCCUGGGUUUGAAACGAAUUUUCCAGGAUUCUAACGGCUUUGUGCUUUCAGUGGUAAGCGACGUACCCGUCGACAGCGAGGCGCCUGUGGUGACUUCGUCAAUCUCUCUAGGAUAUACCGACCAGGCUUCGGAGGUGCUCAUAGGGGUAGGGUUUGCGUGCGUGCGUUCUCAUCAAAAAAUAUGAAAAAAUUUGAUAAGAUA
rnacentral:lncRNA from 1 species